GACGAACGCUGGCGGCGUGCUUAACACAUGCAAGUCGAACGGAAAGGCCCCCAUCUUGGUGGGGGUGCUCGAGUGGCGAACGGGUGAGUAACACGUGGGUGAUCUGCCCUGUACUUCGGGAUAAGCUUGGGAAACUGGGUCUAAUACCGGAUAGGACCAUGGUUUAGUGUCUCAUGGUGGAAAGAUUAUUGUUUUGGUGCAGGAUGAGCUCGCGGCCUAUCAGCUUGUUGGUGGGGUAAUGGCCUACCAAGGCGUCGACGGGUAGCCGGCCUGAGAGGGUGGACGGCCACAUUGGGACUGAGAUACGGCCCAGACUCCUAUGGGAGGCAGCAGUGGGGAAUAUUGCACAAUGGGCGCAAGCCUGAUGCAGCGACGCCGCGUGGGGGAUGACGGCCUUCGGGUUGUAAACUCCUUUCGUUAGGGACGAAGCCGCACUUUUUUUGGGUGUGGUGACGGUACCUUUGUUAAGAAGCACCGGCUAACUACGUG
rnacentral:rRNA from 1 species